UUCUUUUCUUUUUAGUGAUGUGAUGAGCA
rnacentral:piRNA from 1 species